GCAGAUUCUCCGGGGGCGGAGACGGUGACGGUUUUGGGUGGGAGGAGGCCGGGGAGGCCUCCGGUGAGCUCUGGCGGUGGUGGGCAGAUUAAUUAGGUAAUGAUUAGGUUGUAGUUAAUUAGUUAGUUAAUUAUGAAUCUAUGAUGUUAUAUUAACUAAGUAAUUAAUUUAUUAAUUAAUUUCAACAUGUACCUUAUUUAUUUAUUUUGUUUUUUUUAUUGCUAUUGUUAAUUGUCUCUUGUUGAAUGCUGGUUAAAUGUUUUUGUUUAUUAAGGGGAUUGUUACAUAUUCUUUCAUGUAUGGUUUUCGG
rnacentral:lncRNA from 1 species